GGCGGGUGAUGAAUGGAAACUUCCUGACAUUUCAAGCUACAACAUCUGAAAGGAAAUGGAAUUUUCCUGAAGCACAGGCAGGAGGUCUCUGUCACAAGCUAUUGAUUUGGAUGUGAUCUUUCUUUUUUUCACUCCACUUUUCCCCCAUCAAAUGAGGAAGGAAAGCUCAAGCAGUUUACUAUUUUGGGAAAAUUGUGCCAUCGUGCUUAGUACAUAGUGUGUAUCAGACUUAAGAAAAGGACAAGAAUGAAACUAUUAAAAAAAUUUCUCCAACUAGCAAUUAAAAGACAAUAGGAAAACUGCUUCUAUGUUUAAGAAAAGAUAAUUUAACUCUUAAUUUUAUUGCCACUUAUCUACUUUUGACCAUAUAUUGAGGAUUCCCCCCACCUUCCACCGCCAGUGGAACUGGGGAAUAAAACAACAAAGAUUGAAGAUGUAAUGGAGAAAAGAGUGGAAACAACUCAAGACAGUGAUGAAGGGGAAUCUCAUGAAAUCAUCUGUGUUGCAAAUCUAGAGAGGUAUGAUGUACUGCAGUGGAGUAACUGGAUGGAUGGAAUUCACCUAAAAGGAGAUAUUCAGGGAAAAACAAAACAAACAAAAAACAAAAACAAAAACAAAAAAUGCUCAAACUAUUACACUAGGUUAUAUAUAUACAUAUUUUCUUUUUCUCUUCCUAUUUUCCUUUCCAAUUUUACGUGUUUCAAAUUUACAAAUAAAAAUUGUAGAUAUUAAAAAAAAAAAAAAGAAAGG
rnacentral:lncRNA from 1 species